UUCUGAACCGGACCAUAAAUCCCCUGGACCCCAAAGAGAACAAAGUGAGUGGUCAACAAAGAAGGGCAGUGACUUAAAGCAAACAAAAAAUCUUUUAAGAUCCAUCAUCAAAAAUGAAAAUGAAUAUAGGAAUUCAUGAGUUAAAAGAUAAGAUAAACACCUGACCAGCAAGUAAUGCAUUCAAAGAAAAAAUAUUGGAUAG
rnacentral:misc_RNA from 1 species